GGAUGUGGUCUGUUAGGUAAGGAUGCCUGAGGUAGUAAUUUGAACUGAACUCUAAAAGGUGACUAUCAAUUAUCUAGAAGAACAGGUGGUGUGAAGAGCCUUCAAGGGCCAGAGAACAGUCAGUAAGGAGAAUACGGUUGGUAAAAUAUUGAAGAGCAUCUGAAAAGGCAGUUUGGCUGGGACAGAGUAAGAGACGAGGUAGCACAGUUUAAGCUGGAGCCAAGCUAUCCAGAGAACUUCUUUGAAUAUAGCUCUACCCUGGGCAUGAUGAACUCCAAUACGGAGUAAAUGUGCCUUUGCUGCCUGCCAGCUGCCAGCUUCCACUUCCUCCCCACAAGACAAAUGCAUAUGAAGACGGUAUGCACUCGUCUGGCCUCAUUUAGGCAUUCAGGACACCUGGGUUUGCCCAGUAGCAGAAGACUUGACUUGAAUUAAGGUCAAGAUGGUGAGACACCAGACAAGCUUAUGGAAUGUUACUCAUAAAAGUGCCCAACCAUAUUCACAAUUAGAGGUAUGAACACCACUGUUUCAAAGAGGGGUAGCUGAUAUAUUUUAUUAUUUUUAAAAUAGUGUGGCUAUCCUGACCAUAGUGUAGAUUCCCUGGAGUGUUAAAUGGAAUGGAUAGCCAUCUUUACAAAUGU
rnacentral:lncRNA from 1 species